GAUUAAGUUAUUAAGGGCGCACGGUGGAUGCCUUGGCACUAGAAGCCGAUGAAGGACGUUACUAACGACGAUAUGCUUUGGGGAGCUGUAAGUAAGCUUUGAUCCAGAGAUUUCCGAAUGGGGAAACCCAGCAUGAGUUAUGUCAUGUUAUCGAUAUGUGAAUACAUAGCAUAUCAGAAGGCACACCCGGAGAACUGAAACAUCUUAGUACCCGGAGGAAGAGAAAGAAAAUUCGAUUCCCUUAGUAGCGGCGAGCGAAACGGGAAGAGCCCAAACCAACAAGCUUGCUUGUUGGGGUUGUAGGACACUCUAUACGGAGUUACAAAGGACGACAUUAGACGAAUCAUCUGGAAAGAUGAAUCAAAGAAGGUAAUAAUCCUGUAGUCGAAAAUGUUGUCUCUCUUGAGUGGAUCCUGAGUACGACGGAGCACGUGAAAUUCCGUCGGAAUCUGGGAGGACCAUCUCCUAAGGCUAAAUACUCUCUAGUGACCGAUAGUGAACCAGUACCGUGAGGGAAAGGUGAAAAGCACCCCGGAAGGGGAGUGAAAUAGAACCUGAAACCGUGUGUUUACAAGUAGUCAGAGCCCGUUAAUGGGUGAUGGCGUGCCUUUUGUAGAAUGAACCGGCGAGUUACGAUUUGAUGCAAGGUUAAGCAGUAAAUGUGGAGCCGUAGCGAAAGCGAGUCUGAAUAGGGCGUUUAGUAUUUGGUCGUAGACCCGAAACCAGGUGAUCUACCCUUGGUCAGGUUGAAGUUCAGGUAACACUGAAUGGAGGACCGAACCGACUUACGUUGAAAAGUGAGCGGAUGAACUGAGGGUAGCGGAGAAAUUCCAAUCGAACCUGGAGAUAGCUGGUUCUCUCCGAAAUAGCUUUAGGGCUAGCCUCAAGUGAUGAUUAUUGGAGGUAGAGCACUGUUUGGACGAGGGGCCCCUCUCGGGUUACCGAAUUCAGACAAACUCCGAAUGCCAAUUAAUUUAACUUGGGAGUCAGAACAUGGGUGAUAAGGUCCGUGUUCGAAAGGGAAACAGCCCAGACCACCAGCUAAGGUCCCAAAAUAUAUGUUAAGUGGAAAAGGAUGUGGCGUUGCCCAGACAACUAGGAUGUUGGCUUAGAAGCAGCCAUCAUUUAAAGAGUGCGUAAUAGCUCACUAGUCGAGUGACACUGCGCCGAAAAUGUACCGGGGCUAAACAUAUUACCGAAGCUGUGGAUUGUCCUUUGGACAAUGGUAGGAGAGCGUUCUAAGGGCGUUGAAGCAUGAUCGUAAGGACAUGUGGAGCGCUUAGAAGUGAGAAUGCCGGUGUGAGUAGCGAAAGACGGGUGAGAAUCCCGUCCACCGAUUGACUAAGGUUUCCAGAGGAAGGCUCGUCCGCUCUGGGUUAGUCGGGUCCUAAGCUGAGGCCGACAGGCGUAGGCGAUGGAUAACAGGUUGAUAUUCCUGUACCACCUAUAAUCGUUUUAAUCGAUGAGGGGACGCAGUAGGAUAGGCGAAGCGUGCGAUUGGAUUGCACGUCUAAGCAGUAAGGCUGAGUAUUAGGCAAAUCCGGUACUCGUUAAGGCUGAGCUGUGAUGGGGAGAAGACAUUGUGUCUUCGAGUCGUUGAUUUCACACUGCCGAGAAAAGCCUCUAGAUAGAAAAUAGGUGCCCGUACCGCAAACCGACACAGGUAGUCAAGAUGAGAAUUCUAAGGUGAGCGAGCGAACUCUCGUUAAGGAACUCGGCAAAAUGACCCCGUAACUUCGGGAGAAGGGGUGCUCUUUAGGGUUAACGCCCAGAAGAGCCGCAGUGAAUAGGCCCAAGCGACUGUUUAUCAAAAACACAGGUCUCUGCUAAACCGUAAGGUGAUGUAUAGGGGCUGACGCCUGCCCGGUGCUGGAAGGUUAAGAGGAGUGGUUAGCUUCUGCGAAGCUACGAAUCGAAGCCCCAGUAAACGGCGGCCGUAACUAUAACGGUCCUAAGGUAGCGAAAUUCCUUGUCGGGUAAGUUCCGACCCGCACGAAAGGCGUAACGAUUUGGGCACUGUCUCAACGAGAGACUCGGUGAAAUCAUAGUACCUGUGAAGAUGCAGGUUACCCGCGACAGGACGGAAAGACCCCGUGGAGCUUUACUGUAGCCUGAUAUUGAAAUUCGGCACAGCUUGUACAGGAUAGGUAGGAGCCUUUGAAACGUGAGCGCUAGCUUACGUGGAGGCGCUGGUGGGAUACUACCCUAGCUGUGUUGGCUUUCUAACCCGCACCACUUAUCGUGGUGGGAGACAGUGUCAGGCGGGCAGUUUGACUGGGGCGGUCGCCUCCUAAAAGGUAACGGAGGCGCUCAAAGGUUCCCUCAGAAUGGUUGGAAAUCAUUCAUAGAGUGUAAAGGCAUAAGGGAGCUUGACUGCGAGACCUACAAGUCGAGCAGGGUCGAAAGACGGACUUAGUGAUCCGGUGGUUCCGCAUGGAAGGGCCAUCGCUCAACGGAUAAAAGCUACCCCGGGGAUAACAGGCUUAUCUCCCCCAAGAGUUCACAUCGACGGGGAGGUUUGGCACCUCGAUGUCGGCUCAUCGCAUCCUGGGGCUGUAGUCGGUCCCAAGGGUUGGGCUGUUCGCCCAUUAAAGCGGUACGCGAGCUGGGUUCAGAACGUCGUGAGACAGUUCGGUCCCUAUCCGUCGUGGGCGUAGGAAAUUUGAGAGGAGCUGUCCUUAGUACGAGAGGACCGGGAUGGACAUACCUCUGGUGUACCAGUUGUCGUGCCAACGGCAUAGCUGGGUAGCUAUGUGUGGACGGGAUAAGUGCUGAAAGCAUCUAAGCAUGAAGCCCCCCUCAAGAUGAGAUUUCCCAACUUCGGUUAUAAGAUCCCUCAAAGAUGAUGAGGUUAAUAGGUUCGAGGUGGAAGCAUGGUGACAUGUGGAGCUGACGAAUACUAAUCGAUCGAAGACUUAAUCAA
rnacentral:rRNA from 1 species